rnacentral:tRNA from 1 species
GCGCCCGUAGCUCAGAUGGAUAGAGUGCUACCCUCCGAAGGUAGAAGUCGCACGUUCGAAUCGUGUCGGGCGCACCA